rnacentral:rRNA from 1 species
CGGCGGACGGGUGAGUAACACGUGGAUAACCUACCUAUAAGACUGGGAUAACUUCGGGAAACCGGAGCUAAUACCGGAUAAUAUAUUGGACCGCAUGGUUCAAUAGUGAAAGACGGUUUUGCCGUCACUUAUAGAUGGAUCCGCGCCGCAUUAGCUAGUUGGUAAGGUAACGGCUUACCAAGGCAACGAUGCGUAGCCGACCUGAGAGGGUGAUCGGCCACACUGGAACUGAGACACGGUCCAG